rnacentral:rRNA from 1 species
CGAACUGAAUCAUCUUAGUAGGUUGAGGAAAAGAGAAUAAACAAUGAUUCCGAAAGUAGUGGCGAGCGAAAUUGGAACAGCCCAAACCUUAACAUAACCAUACGGUUUAACGGCCAGAGUUAUGAAAGGGGUUGUGAAAUUAGAUAAUUUUUAUGUAUAGCGGUCGACCAACUGUUGUCUACUCACUGUUGAGGAGUAUAUGCCUGGCCAAGCGGCCUUGAGCGCCUCCGAAAUGGUGAGUAGACAACAAUCCGACGGUUAUACAUAAAAACCAACAUCGUUAAAUGAGUGGAUAAUGAUAAAAUCCUUUAGAUCAUAGCAGAAGUGUUUGAAUGGCACACCAUAGAAGGUGAGAGUCCUGUACGCGAAAUGGUCUUAGGCAUUAUAUAUCUUUUUUCAAGUAGGACGGGGCACGAGAAACCCUGUUUGAAUCUGGCAGGACCACCUGCCAAGGCUAAAUAUAUUGAUUGAUCGAUAGCGAACUAGUACAGUGAUGGAAAGGUGAAAAGAACCCCGGGAGGGGAGUGAAAUAGAACCUGAAACUUAGUGCCCACAAGGUGUCGGAGCAGCUUCGGCUGUGACGGCGUGCUUUUUGUAGAACGAUCCAGCGAGUUAAUGUUGUCGGCAAGGCUAAGUCAAAUGAUGGAGCCACAGUGAAAGCGAGCCUUAACAGGGCGAUUAGUCGGCAGUAUUAGACCCGAAACCGGGUGACCUAACCAUGAGCAGGUUGAAGCUGCGGUAACACGCAGUGGAGGACCGAACCAGGGUACGCAGUAAAGUGCUUGGAUGACUUGUGGUUAGCGGUGAAAUGCCAAUCGAACUCGGAGAUAGCUGGUUCUCCUCGAAAUAGCUUUAGGGCUAGCGUCAUGUUAGUAAUGUAUGGGGGUAGAGCUCUGUAAAGGAUUGGGGCGGGCAACUGUACCCACCCUUAACAAACUACGAAUACCGUAUAUGUAAUCAUGGCAGUUAGAACAUCGGUGCUAAGAUCGGUGCUCAAAAGGGAAACAGCCCAGACCAUCAUCUAAGGUCCCUAAAUAUACAUUAAGUGGGAAACAAGGUGAAAUUUCUUAAACAGCGAGGAUGUUGGCUUAGAAGCAGCCAUUCAUUUAAAGAGUGCGUAACAGCUCACUCGUCAAGAGAUUUUGCGUGGAAAAUGUAACGGGGCUAAAUGUAUUACCGAAGAUAUGGAUUAUUACAUUAGUAAUAGUGGUAGAGGAGCGUUCCUAUCAGCAGUGAAGCAGUAUUGAAAAGUAUUGUGGAGCGGUAGGAAGUGAGAAUGCUGGAAUGAGUAACCAUAAGAUAGGUGAGAAUCCUGUCGGCCGUAAGAGCAAGGUUUCCUGAGCUAUGGUAAUCAUCUCAGGGUUAGUCGGGCCUAAGCCGAGGCGCAUAGCGUAGGCGAUGGACAUCAGGUUGAUAUUCCUGAACCGGCGUAGUUUGUACACUGUUCACGGAGAGAUAUUCAGAGCGGAUUCAUGGUUUAUCCGUCCAACCGAGCGGGAACGCAAAGGGAGUGAAAGUUACUCUGCGGAGUGAUGAUUCUGGAAAAGGCUCUGGCUAGAAAAGCAGGUGUACGCGUGGCUAUGUCCGCCCGUACCGCAAACCAACACAGGUGCUCGAGUCGAGUAGACUCAGGCUUACGAGUGAACCUUCGCUAAGGAACUCGGCAAUACAGCGACCGUAACUUCGGAAUAAGGUCUGCCCCCACUUCGGUGGAUAUGUUGUCGGUUUCAAAGCUAGCAGGUGUGGUUGAAGAGUAUCUUUAAUACAUCAAUUCUUCUUGAGAUAGAACCAAUAGCUUUUGGAACUGAAGCUCAACGCAUCUAGCGAUGUGGGGGCCGCAGCAAAAGAGCCCACGGAACUGUUUAUCAAAAACACAGCUCUCUGCUAACACGAAAGUGGAUGUAUAGGGGGUGACUCCUGCCCGGUGCUGGAAGGUUAAGGGGAGUGCUUCACGGUACGAACUGAAGCCCCAGUGAACGGCGGCGGUAACUAUAACCGUCCUAAGGUAGCGAAAUUCCUUGUCAGGUAAGUUCUGACCCGCACGAAUGGAGUAAUCAUGUGGGCACUGUCUCAGCGAAGGACUCGGUGAAAGUGCAUUGGCGGUAAAGAUGCCGUCUGUCCAUACCAGGACGAGAAGACCCCAUGGAGCUUUACUACAGCUUUACAUUGAUCCAGGUUUCAGCAUGUGUAGCAUAGUUGGGAGACUUUGAAACAGAUACGCUAGUAUUUGCGGAGUCGCAAUGUGAAAUACCAACCUUGCUGUGAUCUUGAUCUAACUUGUGCCGUUAUCCGGUACAAGGACCGUGUAUGGUGGGUAGUUUAACUGGGGCGGUUGCCUCCUAAAGAGUAGCGGAGGCGUUCAAAGGU